rnacentral:rRNA from 1 species
GUCUACGGCCAUGUUACCCUGAACAAGCCCGAUCUCAUCUGAUGUCGGAAGCUAAGCAGAGAUGGGCCUGGUUAGUACUUAGAUGGGAGGCCACCUAGGAAGACCAGGUGCUGUAGACG